rnacentral:misc_RNA from 1 species
GAUGAAGAACGUAGUGAAAUGCGAUAAGUAAUGUGAAUUGCAGAAUUCAGUGAAUCAUCGAAUUUUUGAACGCACAUUGCGCCCAUUAGCAUUCUAGUGGGCAUGCCUGUUCGAGCGUCAUUUCAACCCUUAAGCCCUGUUGCUUAGCGUUGGGAGCCUACAGUACUGUAGCUCCCCAAAGUUAGUGGCGGAGUCGGUUUCACACUCUAGACGUAGUAAUUUUUUCUCGUCUGUAGUUGAGCCGGUCCCCUGCCGUAAAACACCCAAUUUAUCAAGGUUGACCUCGGAUCAGGUAGGAAUACCCGCUGAACUUAAGCAUAUCAAUAAGCGGAGGA